UCAAAAGCAAGAAAGUGAGCCAUGGGAAAGAAAUGAGAGAACAAGCAGAGAAAACCGUUGAUGGUGAUCCAGAGCAUGAGCAGAAGAAAAUGUCUGGUCUGGCUUCAGGUUUGUGUGAGGUGCCAAAACCUGACAACUUGGAAAGCAUAAUGCAAAAUGCAAGUCGUUUGCUGAAUUUCUACAAAGAUUUUGACUAAGAAGUGAAGGGAAGAGCAUUUUAUUUGUUUAGGAUCUUGCAUUAAGCUAAAUACAAAUAGCUUUCUGAGUGGGUAUCUUCCAGGGUUUCGAGUUUGCAUUUCAUUAUUGUAGUAAUAGGAUAACUAAUUUACCAUCUUUUGUUAGAAUCUUGUAGCCAAAAUCAUAACAUAUCAUAUAGAAAAACUUUUGCUUACAAGCCAAUUACAUUAAUGGCAAG
rnacentral:misc_RNA from 1 species